ACAUGCCGCAAUGCAACUCAAUGUAUAAACUUAGGUGGACACAAAAGAUGAAGGAAGAAGAAGUGGAAGAACUAUUCAUAAUGCGACGCACGUCUCUCCAGCCCAUCACGGAAUAUCUACAUCAUCACACAACACGCUGCCUCCUCUCCUCGAGUAAUUUCCACUUUCACUUUCUCCACAAUCUGUUCGCUUCUCAAACCGAACAAGGAACGCCAAAGCCACCACCACCACCGCCCUCAUCAUUCUUUUCGAUGCAGUUGAUUUCCUCGACGACUUUGUGCGUGUGCACAAAUCCGACAAAAUCCACGCAUUUUUACAAGUUUACUACAUACCUGAUUUGGACAAACACUGGAUGGAGGACGAACUUUGGACAUGGUCACGAGUAAAAGCGAACGACCAAAAGCGCACUUAUACAAGGGACAAAAAGUCUUUAUCUCGAUCCGAAUUGGGAAAGAGCAUCCGAAAGGAAGCAACAAAUUUAUAUCGGGGACAUAAGCCGUGAUUUGUAGGAGGGAAAAGGUUACAAUAAUUCUGCUCCGUAAGCCGGAGAAAAUAGGAAUGUGGGAAGGAAUAGGAUUGCACUGGAAACGUUUAAUGGUCAUGUCCACUCAUACUUUUAAAUAGUGCAGAAUUUUUUAUGGUAAAAAAAGUUACGUAAUUUUUUUUAGACUUUAUAAAGAUCCUUAAUUCCUAAUGUGUCAAAUACUUUACUAGCGACAUGAUUAACCUGUUGAACUAACAAAUCUUUGAGUUUUGCCACUAAAUUAUGAUGUGUAUGCGACCAUAAAUAAGAAUUGUACUCAUUACAUAACUUAAAAUUUGAAUAUGUACCCACUAAUUUUCCAAGUAAAGAUCUAAAUUCAACAAAAUAAACACCCUCCCCCUCCAUCCUGCA